CAUACCCGUAUUCGCCUAGUAACGGCGAGUGAAGCGGGAAGAGCUCAAAUUUGAAAUCUGGUGGCCUCAGGUCAUCCGAGUUGUAAUCUAUAGAAGUGUUUUCCGUGCUGGCUCAUGUACAAGUCCCUUGGAACAGGGCGUCAUAGAGGGUGAGAAUCCCGUCCUUGACAUGAACUACCAGUGCUCUGUGAUACAUUUUCAACGAGUCGAGUUGUUUGGGAAUGCAGCUCAAAAUGGGUGGUAAAUUCCAUCUAAAGCUAAAUAUUGGCGAGAGACCGAUAGCGAACAAGUACCGUGAGGGAAAGAUGAAAAGCACUUUGGAAAGAGAGUUAAACAGUAUGUGAAAUUGUUGAAAGGGAAACGAUUGAAGUCAGUCGUGCUCUUUGGAUUCAGCCGGUUCUGCCGGUGUACUUCCUUUGAGUGGGGUCAACAUCAGUUUUGAUCGCUGGAUAAAGGCUGGAGGAACGUAGUACCCUCGGGUAAACUUAUAGCCUCCUGUCACAUACAGUGGUUGGGACUGAGGAACGCAGCACGCCUUUAUGGCCGGGAUUCGUCCACGUACGUGCUUAGGAUGUUGACAUAAUGGCUUUAAACGACCCGUCUUGAACCACGGACCA
rnacentral:rRNA from 1 species